rnacentral:rRNA from 1 species
GACGAACGCUGGCGGCGUGCUUAACACAUGCAAGUCGAACGAAGUGGCGAACGGGUGAGUAAUACGUGGGUAACCUGCCCUCCUUUUUGGGAUAAGCCUUGGAAACGGGGUCUAAUACCGAAUAAAGGGGGAUGGGCUCGCGGCCUAUCAGCUUGUUGGUGGGGUGAUGGCCUACCAAGGCGGUGAGGGGUAGCCGGCCUGAGAGGGUGAACGGCCACGUUGGGAGUGAGAGACGGCCCAGGCACCUACGAGAGGCAGCAGUGGGGGAAAGUGCGCAAUGGGCGAAAGCCUGAUGCGGGGACGCCACGUGGGGGAUGGAGGCUUUCGGGUUUUAAACCUCUUUCGAAAACGAACGGGUAGGUGGAGAAGAAGCACCGGCUAACUACGUGCCAGCAGCCGCGGUAAUAC